rnacentral:lncRNA from 1 species
GCCUCCCAAAGUGCUGGGAUUACAGGUGUGAGCCACUGCACCCAGCCUAGAGAUGAUUUAAAGUAUAUGGUGGUGUGGUGGCUCGCAUCUGUAAUCCCGGCACUUUGGGAGUCUGAGGUGGGCGGAUCACCUGAGGUCAGGAGUUUGAGACCAGCCUAGCCAAUAUGAUGAAACCCUGUCUCUACUAAAAAUACAAAAAUUAGCCGGGUGUGGUGGCUGGUGUCUGUAAUCCUAGCUACUUGGGAGGCUGAGGCAGGAGAAUCAGCUGGACCUGGGAGGUGGGGGUUGAAGUGAGCCGAGAUCUCACCACUGCACUCCAGCCUGGGUGACAAGAGUGAGACUCUGUCUCAAUCAGUCAAUCAAUCAAUCAAUCAAUCAAGUAUACAAGAUGGCAGAGCAGGCCAAGCAGGCUGGGUGCAGUGAUUCACACUUGUUAGCCAAGCACUUUAGGAGGCCAAGAUGGGAUUGGUUGAGCUCAGGAGACCAGUCUGGGAAAUGUGGCGAGAGCUCAUCUCUUAAAAUAAAAAAAAAGUUAGCCAAGUAUGUACUCCCAGUUUCUUGGGAGGCUGAGGCAAGAUGAUUUUUUGAGCCUGAAGGGUUUCAUGAGCAUGGGAGGUUGAAGCUCCAGUGAACUGUGAUAGUGCCCUUGCACUCCAGCCUGGGACCGGCGAGAUAAGGGAUUUUCUUUCUCCCUGGGUAUGUUCAACCUGUGAAUGUACACAAUGACGAGGUCAGGGUGUAGAGUUUAUAUGAGGGCUUCAGAAAUUUGGCUUAGGGCCAGAUUUCAUGUUUUUUAACCACAGUAACAAAAUGACAUAACAAAAAGUUUGCAUUGCAGAAAGCACAAUUUUAAAAAGGAAAAUUAUUUACAGUGCAUACCACAUAAGCGAAUAUUUGCAAAUUUUUUUGUAAUAAUAGAGAUGGGUCUCCCUAUGUUGCCCAGGCCAGUCUCAAACUCCUGGGCUCAAGUGAUCCACCUGCCUCAGCCUCCCAAAGAGCUGGGAUACAGGCGGGAGCCACGGCUCCCAGCCACAUAUUUGCAUUUUAAAAAUGCACGUAUAACUUUAAAACAUAUAAUUUAACUCAGCAAUUCCACUUCUACAAAGUUAACCUAAUUAAGUAAAUGAGUAUGAGAACUUGUAUGUAUAAGGAUUUUCACUAUUUGGUUAAGUGUCCAUUGAUGGUACUUUAUUAAAUUAUGAUGCUAACAGCCAGGUGCGGUGGCUCACACCUGUAAUCCUAGCACUUUGGGAGGCCGAGGCGGGUGGAACAUGAGGUCAGGAGUUCGAGACCAGCCUGACCAAUAUGGUGAAACCCUGUCUCUACUAAAAAUAAAAAAAUUAGCCGGGCGUGGUGGCACACACCUGUAGUCCCAGCUACUUGGGAGGCCGAGGCAGGAGAGUUGCUUGAACCUGGGAGGCGGAGGUUGCAGUGAGCCGAGAUCAUGCCACUGCACUCCAGCCUGGGUGACAGUGAUACUCCAUCUCAAAAAAAAAAAAAAAAAAAAAAUUAUGAUGCUAACGGCCAGGCACGGUGGUUCAUGCCUGUAAUCUCAGCACUUUGGGAGGCCGAGGCGGGUGGAUCACCUGAGGUCAGGAGUUCAAGACCAGCCUGACUAACAUGGAGAAACCCUGUCUCUACUAAAAAUACAAAAUUAGCCGGGCGUGGUGGCGCAUGCCUGUAAUCCCAGCUACUCGGGAGGCUGAAGCAGGAGAAUCACAUGAACCUGGGAGCGGGAGGUUGCAAUGAGCCAAGAUUGUGCCAUCGCACUCCAGCCUGGGCAUCAAGAGCGAAACGCCGUCCCAAAAAAAAAAAAAAUUAUGAUGCUAACAUUCAAGGAAAUUCUGUGCAGCUGUUAAAAAGGAUGAAAUAGAUUUACAUGAAUUUACAUGGAAAGAUGUUAACUGGUAUAUUAAGAGAAAAAGUUUUGCUACAGGAUACUGCAAAUGUAAUAUUUAAGUAUAUAUAAUGAAUAUAUACAUAGUGUCAAAAAGACUGAAAGUUAAAAGUAAAUUAUACAGUAGUUCUCUUGAAACUUUUUUUUUCUUUUUGAGACGGAGUUUCGCUCUUGUUGCCCAGGCUGGAGUGCAAUGGCAUGAUCUUGGCUCACCACAAACUCCGCCUCCUGGGUUCAAGCAAUUCUCCUGUCUCAGUCUCCUGAGUAGCUGGGAUUACAGGCAUGCGCCAUCAUGCCCUGCUAAUUUUGUAUUUUUAGUAGAGACGGGGUUUCUUCAUGUUGGUCAGGCUGGUCUCAAACUCCCAACCUCAGGUGAUCUGUCCGCCUCGGCCUCCCAAAGUGCAGGGAUUACAGGCGUGAACUACCAUGCCUGGCCAAUUCUCUGGAAUUUUUGACAUUAAGUUUCUAUAUUAUUUGGGAUUUUUAUUUUAUUUUUAUUUUUUUGAGAGGGAGUUUCGCUCUUAUUGCCCAGGCUGGAGUGUAAUAGCAUGACCUUGGCUCACUGCAACCUCUGCCUCCCGGGUUCAAGCAAUUCUCCGGCCUCAGCCUUCUGAGUAGCUGGGAUUACAGGUGCCUACCACCACACCUGGCUAAUUGUUUGUACUUUUAGUAGAGAUGGGGUUUCACCAUGUUGGCCAGGCUGGUCUUGAACUCCUGACUUCAGGUGAUCCACCCACCUCUCCCUCCAAAGUGCUGGGAUUACAGGCGUGAGCCACUGUGCCUGGCCUAUUUGGGAUUUUAAAAUAAUCAUUCCCCCAAUACAGAUUUUUUUAUCUGGAGUGGGAAAACAUGAUAAAACAACCAGUGAUUUUUAGACUUUUUUGGAGUCCUGGGAUUCCACAGGGUGCCUGAUAUGGUUUGGCUGUGUCCCCACCCAAAUCUCAACUUGAAUUAUAUCUCCCAGAAUUCCCACAUGUUGUGGGAGGGACCAAGGGGGAGGUAAUUGAAUCAUGGAGGCCAGCCUUUCCCAUGCUAUUCUUGUGAUAGUGAAUAAGUCUCACGAGAUCUGAUGGGUUUAUGAGGGGUUUCCACUUUUGCUUCUUCCUCAUUCUCUCUUCCUGCUGCCAUAUGAGAAGUGCCUUUUGCCCUCUGCCAUGAUUGUGAGACCUUCCCCAGCCACGUGGAAGUUAGAGACGGGGUUUCACUGUGUUUGCCAGGAAGGUCUCGAUCUCCUGACCUCAUGAUCUGCCUGCCUCAGCCUCCCAAAAUGCUGGGAUUACAGGCGUGAGCCACCACGCCCAGCCAGCUGAAGAAAUUUCUAAGCAGCAAAGCAUUCAAGAGGUGACUUGGGUACUGCUAAAGUCGUUCAGUUUUAAAGGGGGAACAGAGCAUUAAACUUCAGAAAAUUUGCAGCCUGACUACGAUAGAAAAGAAAAACCCAUUUUCUGGGGAGAAGUUCAAGCCAGCUGCAGAAAUUUGCAUAAGUAGCAAGGAGCCUGAUGAUAAUCCUCAAGACCAUGGGGAAAAUGUCACCAGGCCAUGUCUGAGACUUUUAUAGCAGCCCCUCCCAUCACAGGCCCGGAGGCCCAGGAGGAAAAAGUGGUUUUGUGGGCAAGGCCCAGGGUCCCCAUGCUAUGUGCAGCCUAGGGGCUUGGUCCUUUUGUGCAAGCUGCUCCAGCCAUGGCUGAAAGGGGCCAAUGUACAGGUCAGGCUGUGGCUUUAGAGGUGGAAGCCCCAAGCCUUGGCACCUUCCAUGUGGUGUUGAGCCUGUGGGUGCACAGAAGUCAAGAAUUGAGGUUUGGGAACCUCCACCUAGAUUUCAGAAGAUGUAUGGAAACAUCUAGAUACCCAGGCAAGUUUGCUGCAGGUGUGGGGCCCUCAGGGAGAACCUCUGCUAGGGUAGUAUGGAAGGGAAAUGUGGGGUUGGAGCCCUCACGGAGUCCCUACUGGGGUAUCAUCUAGUGGAGCUGUGAGAAGAGGGUGACCAUCCUCCAGACCCCAGAAUGGUAGAUUCACCUACCAUUGCACCAUGCACCUGGAAAAGCCACAGGCACUCAACACCAGCCUGUGAAAGCAGCCAGGAGGGAGGCUGUACUGUACCCUGCAAAGCCACAGGGGUGGAGCUGUCCAAGACCAUGGGAACCCACCUCUUGCAUCAGCGUGACCUGGAUGCGAGACAUGGAGUGAAAGGGGAUCAUUUUAAGAUUUGACUGCGCCACUGGAUUUUGGACUUGCAUGGGGCCCACAGCCCCUUUGUUUUGGACAAUUUCUCCCAUUUGGAAUGGCUAUUUACCCAAUGCCUGUACCCCCAUUGUAUCUAAGAAGUAACUAAUUUGCUUUUGAUUUUACAGGCUCAUGGGGGAAGGGACUUGCCUUGUCUCAGAUGGGACUUUGGAGUGUGGACUUUUGGGUUAAGGCUGAAAUAAGACUUUGGGGGACUGUUGGGAAGGCAUGACUGGUUUGAAAUGUGAUGACAUGAGAUUUAGAGGGGCCAGGGGAUUGGAAUGAUAUGGUUUGGCUGUGUCCUCACCCAAGUCUCACCCUGAACUGUAUUUCCCAUUAUUACCACGUGUUGUGGGAGGGACCCAGGGGGAGGUAAUUGAACCAUGGAGGCUGGUUAGAUCUGAUGGGUUUAUCAGGGGUUUCUGCUUUUGCUUCUUCCUCAUUUUUUUUUUUUUUUUUUUUGAGACAGAUUUUUGCUUGUCACCCAGGCUGGAGUGUAAUGGUCUGAUCUUGGCUCACCGCAACCUCUGCCUCCCAGGUUCAAGCAAUUCUCCUGCCUCAGCCUCCCGAGUAGAUGGGAUUACAGGCAUGCACCACUAUGCCUGGCUAAUUUUUUUGUACUUUUUGUAGAGGCUUCACUAUGUUGGUCAGGCUGGUCUUGAACUCCUGACCUCAGGUGAUCCACUGGCCUUGGCCUCCCAAAUCCCAGGCUCACACCUGGGAUUACGGGCAUGAGCUACUGUGCCCAGCCCUUCCUCAUUCGCUCUUGCUGCUGCCAUGUAGGAAGUGCCUUUUGCCCUCCAUCAUGAUUAUAAGACCUUCCCCAGUCACGUGGAACUGUAAGUCCAAUUAAACCUCUUUCUUUUGUAAAUUGCCCAUUGUCAGGUAUUUCUUUGUCAGCAGUGUGCUAAUACAGUGCCCUAGGCUGGGAGCUGGGUAGGGGUAGGGGGAUAGCCCUGAAGUUACAGGAAGUCAACAGAUGCAGCUGGUAAAGACCUUUUGGUUUAAAAUAUCUGCUUCUCUGGUUUAAAAUGUUUAUUUCUGGCCAGGCACAGUGGCUCACACUUAUAAUACCAGCACUUUAGGAGGCUGAGGUGGGCGGAUCACCCGAGGUCAGGAGUUCAAGACCAGACUGAACAACAUGGCGAAAGCUUCUCUCUACUAAAAAUACAAAACUUAGCCCGGCAUGGUGAUGGGCACCUGUAAUCCCAGCUACUCGGGAGGCAGAGGUUGCAGUGAGCUGAGAUCACACCAUUGCACUCCAGCCUGGAUAACAGAGCAAGACUCUAUAUCAAAAAUAAAUAAAUACAAUGAAAUGUUUAUUUCUAUUUGUCUCUAUCCUCCUGAAAAAUGGCUUUAUGCCAAGGUAAGUCAUUAUAAAAAUGGUUUCUUGGUUAACUAUUAGAGAUCCUCCAGCUUGCUAGUAGAGGUGUAACUGCAUUAAUUUUUUUUUUUUUUUUUUUUGGGAGAUGGGAGUCUUGCUCUGUUGCCCAGGCUAGAGUGCAGUGGCGUGAUCUUGCCUCACCGCCACCUCUGCCUCCCGGGUUCAAGCG